CUAUGUAGCAAGGUUAAGUACUUAAGGUAUGGAGCCGAAGGGAAACCGAGUCUGAAAAGGGCGAAAAGUUGCAUGGGGUAGACCCGAAACCGGGUGACCUAUCCAUGGCCAGGUUGAAGCGAGAGUAAAAUCUCGUGGAGGACCGAACCACGUUGGUGUUGAAAAACCAUGGGAUGAGCUGUGGAUAGCGGAGAAAUUCCAAUC
rnacentral:rRNA from 1 species